AGAGUUUGAUCCUGGCUCAGGAUGAACGCUAGCGGCAGGCUUAACACAUGCAAGUCGAGGGGUAACAGGGUGCUUGCACCGCUGACGACCGGCGCACGGGGGCGUAACGCGUACAAUCUACCUUUUACAGAGAGAUACCCCAGAGAAAUUUGGAAUAAUACCUCAUAAUAUUAUUGCUCGGCAUCGAGUGACAAUUAAAGUUUCGGCGGUAAAAGAUGAGUAUGCGUCCUAUUAGCUAGUUGGUAAGGUAACGGCUUACCAAGGCGACGAUAGGUAGGGGUCCUGAGAGGGAGAUCCCCCACACUGGUACUGAGACACGGACCAGACUCCUACGGGAGGCAGCAGUGAGGAAUAUUGGUCAAUGGGCGAAAGCCUGAACCAGCCAUGCCGCGUGCAGGAAGACUGCCCUAUGGGUUGUAAACUGCUUUUAUACAGGAAGAAACACUCCCUCGUGAGGGAGCUUGACGGUACUGUAUGAAUAAGCACCGGCUAACUCCGUGCCAGCAGCCGCGGUAAUACGGAGGGUGCAAGCGUUAUCCGGAAUCAUUGGGUUUAAAGGGUCCGUAGGCGGAUUAAUAAGUCAGAGGUGAAAUCCCACAGCUUAACUGUGGAACUGCCUUUGAUACUGUUAGUCUUGAGUUAUAUGGAAGUAGAUAGAAUGUGUAGUGUAGCGGUGAAAUGCAUAGAUAUUACACAGAAUACCGAUUGCGAAGGCAGUCUACUACGUAUAUACUGACGCUAAUGGACGAAAGCGUGGGGAGCGAACAGGAUUAGAUACCCUGGUAGUCCACGCCGUAAACGAUGGACACUAGUUGUUGGAGAAAUUCAGUGACUAAGCGAAAGUGAUAAGUGUCCCACCUGGGGAGUACGAUCGCAAGAUUGAAACUCAAAGGAAUUGACGGCGGGUGGCCCGCGCAAGCGGAGGAACAUGUGGUUUAAUUCGAUGAUACGCGAGGAACCUUACCUGGGCUUAAAUGUAGAUUGCAUAGGGUAGAAAUAUUCUUUCCCUUCGGGGCUAUUUACAAGGUGCUGCAUGGUUGUCGUCAGCUCGUGCCGUGAGGUGUCGGGUUAAGUCCCAUAACGAGCGCAACCCCUAUUGUUAGUUGCCAGCGGGUAAUGCCGGGAACUCUAACGAAACUGCCGGUGUAAACCGAGAGGAAGGUGGGGAUGACGUCAAAUCAGCACGGCCCUUAUGUCCAGGGCUACACACGUGUUACAAUGGUCGGUACAAAGGGCAGCUACUUGGUGACAAGAUGCUAAUCUCUAAAACCGGUCUCAGUUCGGAUCGAAGUCUGCAACUCGACUUCGUGAAGCUGGAUUCGCUAGUAAUCGCGCAUCAGCAAUGGCGCGGUGAAUACGUUCCCGGGCCUUGUACACACCGCCCGUCAAGCCAUGGAAGCUGGGGGUACCUGAAGUCUGUAACCGCAAGGAGCGGCCUAGGGUAAAACCAGUGACUGGGGCUAAGUCGUAACAAGGUAACC
rnacentral:rRNA from 1 species